rnacentral:rRNA from 1 species
CGGCACGGGUGAGUAACACGUAUCCAACCUGCCGUCUACUCUUGGCCAGCCUUCUGAAAGGAAGAUUAAUCCAGGAUGGCAUCAUGAGUUCACAUGUCCGCAUGAUUAAAGGUAUUUUCCGGUAGACGAUGGGGAUGCGUUCCAUUAGAUAGUAGGCGGGGUAACGGCCCACCUAGUCAACGAUGGAUAGGGGUUCUGAGAGGAAGGUCCCCACAUUGGAACUGAGACACGGUCCAA